CGCUGUUUAUCCGAGCCCCGGCACUGCUUCCUGUGUUGUUCUUCCUCUUGAGGAAAGAGGGGGAUGCAACAGAUCUCCCCGCACACCCUUGCGCUCGCUGGCCACCGCAGCAGGUGUCCCCGGGGUUGCUGAUGGCUCCCUUGCACUCGCCCUUCCUGAAGAGCAGUUUGGCAGCCAAGGCACCUGGAGUUGUCGGAGCGUGCUGGAGAGCUGGCCAGGUGGCUUUCCCCCCCGCGAAGAAAGCAUUUGUAUGAUGUCCAUUUGGAGCUGUCCACAGGGCCCCUGGUUCCCUCCAUGACCCACCCUGACCAUUUUAUCAAGAUUAUGUGAUUGGCAGAUGUAAGAUAUACCCAGAGGGCAGAAAGUUAAAAACCACCAG